rnacentral:rRNA from 1 species
UACGUAGGGGGCAAGCGUUGUCCGGAUUUAUUGGGCGUAAAGAGCGUGUAGGCGGCUUUACAGGUCCGUUGUGAAAACUCGAGGCUCAACCUCGAGACGCCGGUGGAAACCGUAAGGCUAGAGUCCGGAAGAGGAGAGUGGAAUUCCUGGUGUAGCGGUGAAAUGCGCAGAUAUCAGGAGGAACACCGGUGGCGAAGGCGGCUUGCUGGGCCAGUUCUGACGCUGAGGAGCGAAAGCGUGGGGAGCGAACAGG